rnacentral:rRNA from 1 species
AUUGAACGCUGGCGGCAGGCCUAACACAUGCAAGUCGAACGAGUGGCGGACGGGUGAGUAAUGUCUGGGAAACUGCCUGAUGGAGGGGGAUAACUACUGGAAACGGUACCUAAUACCGCAUACCAUCGGAUGUGCCCAGAUGGGCUUAGCUAGUGGGUGGGGAAAAGGCUCACCCAGGCGACGAUCCCUAGCUGGUCUGAAAGGAUGACCAGCAACACUGGAACGGAGACACGGUCCGUACUCCUACGGGAGGCAGCAGUGGGGAAUAUUGCACAAGGGGCGCAGUCCUGAUGCAGACAUGCCGCGUGUAUGAAGAGGGCCUUCGGGUUGUAAAGUACUUUCAGCGGGGAGGCGUUACCCGCAGAAGAAGCACCGGCUAACUCCGUGCCAGCAGCCGCGGUAAUUC